rnacentral:rRNA from 1 species
UACGGGGGGGGCAAGCGUUGUUCGGAAUUACUGGGCGUAAAGGGCUCGUAGGUGGCCAACUAAGUCGGACGUGAAAUCCCUCGGCUUAACCGGGGAACUGCGUCCGAUACUGGUUGGCUUGAGUUUGGGAGAGGGAUGCGGAAUUCCAGGUGUAGCGGUGAAAUGCGUAGAUAUCUGGAGGAACACCGGUGGCGAAGGCGGCAUCCUGGACCGGCAUUGACGCUGAGGCGCGAAAGCCAGGGGAGCAAACGGG